GACGAACGCUGGCGGCGUGCUUAACACAUGCAAGUCGAACGGUAAGGCCCUUCGGGGUACACGAGUGGCGAACGGGUGAGUAACACGUGGGUGAUCUGCCCUGCACUUCGGGAUAAGCCUGGGAAACUGGGUCUAAUACCGGAUAGGACCACUGCCUGCAUGGGUGGUGGUGGAAAGCUUUUGCGGUGUGGGAUGGGCCCGCGGCCUAUGAGUUUGUUGGUGGGGUGAUGGCCUACCAAGGCGACGACGGGUAGCCGGCCUGAGAGGGUGACCGGCCACACUGGGACUGAGAUACGGCCCAGACUCCUACGGGAGGCAGCAGUGGGGAAUAUUGCACAAUGGGCGCAAGCCUGAUGCAGCGACGCCGCGUGAGGGAUGACGGCCUUCGGGUUGUAAACCUCUUUCAGCGCCGACGAAGCGCAAGUGACGGUAGGUGCAGAAGAAGGACCGGCCAACUACGUGCCAGCCGCCGCCGUAA
rnacentral:rRNA from 1 species